UUUUNCAUCUUAACUUUUCUAGCUGAAUGGGGCGACCGUAGCCAGAUUGCUACAAUAGCUUUGGCGACUCACAAGAACGCCAUAGGAGUGGCCAUUGGGGCAACAAUUGGACACACGAUGUGUACUUCACUAGCGGUUGUUGGAGGAAGCAUGCUGGCUUCAAGGAUCUCGCAACGCACAGUUGCAACUGUUGGAGGCCUCCUCUUCCUCGGAUUUUCAGUGUCGUCCUAUUUUUAUCCUCCACUAUAGUAAUUAUGCUUUUUUCUAAAAUGGGUGUUAGAGACAUUGUCCAAGUAAAGUUUCUCUGUUUUUUUUUAAAUUAAGUUUGAUUUUUGUUUGAUUUCAAUGGCAAAAGUAACAAAUCCAAAGUCAAUGCGUUUACA